AGCCGGGAGCCAGCGGCGCAGUGCGAGUUCAGCCCGCUUUCUUCGCGCUCCGCGUCAAAUCUCUCCAGCUCUGUUCUCGCAUCCCGGGUUUAGAUCCCGCAGAGUUAAGUAUCCCGCGUGUGAAGGGAUGAACUGAGACUCCCAGAGGGCAUAACUGAUGGAGGCACGAAGAUGUCUGCUCUUCAGCUUUGCCAAGUAUGGUGUAAGGGGCUUUGGGGAAUCCAGACAGACCUGGACUUCACACGCCCGUCAUUUAUUUCACUACUAGUGAAAUGCUGGCGUAGUUACGCCUAAGUUCUCUGAGACUGUCCCUCAUCUCUAAAACCACCCCUCCUCUGGUGAACUAAGGAUGGCGAUAACGCUUUAUGUAAAGUGCCUGGCCAGAUACUCAAUAAAUGUUAAUUUUCCAAGCUUA
rnacentral:lncRNA from 1 species